CACUUAUCCAUUGCCGGAGUGGGUCGACGCGUCGCAACUGGCGUUGGGGAAUCCAUUCCCGGCGGCGGCGGCUUCCGGCGAGGAGGCGAGCGAGCUCUGCAAGCUCCGGCGGGGGCUUGUCUCCGACGAGGCGAGGCCAAGGAGGCAGUGCGCGGGCGCAAGGAGGCGGGGUCGAGGAGGCGCAGGAGACGCCGGCCAGUGGCACUCCGGCGGGGGCUUGGCGAGGGCGACAGCGGUCGCGAGGGCUUGGCGGCGGCCAGAGUGCUCGCUUGGGAGGAUGGAGCCGCCUCGCCGGGGCACGGGCGCGGCAGCACGACGUCGGGCCGUUGCCGAUGGCGCCGGGGCCGGGGCGGUGGUCUCACGGGCGACCAGGAGGAGGUGUUGUCCUGGAGCCAGCAACGGCGGCUGCAGCUUGACGAUGCGAGCGUCAAUAGCUUGCUUCAGGGGCUGCGGGCCGUGAGCGGCGCCGUGCUCGCGCACAAGACCCGUGCCUGAUUUGGAUCGGAUUGCAGACCGUGUUCUUGUCGAACACAAUUCAAUGGAGUGCCCAACCCAGAUUGUUGUUUUCUGCUAUAAGAAGGAAGGGUAGUCGGCCGGAAUCUCCAUGAGAUCAAUUUUUGAUUUGGACGAAACAUCCAAUGUCUUCGCCUUGUUCGCUGGAGGAAGAAACGUCGAGUUCGCUGGAGGUACAAGAACAGCCGUCGAGCACUCCAAUGUCGCCAGCGGCGGCUACACCAGAGAAUCAAGACAUGCCUCUAUAAAUGUUUUUUUAAGGCAACUAGCUACUUGGGUUGUGCAAAUCAACAAGUACUCCUACAGAUACCAUCAGAACUAAGGUUAUUCUUAAUUAAGCAGCUCGCUAGAUUACUUUUAAGGAUUUUUCUCCACAUGAAAAUAAUAACCUUGAACUUCAAAUCUUCUAUUGAAACUCCUUUUCUAUGUAUGAACCUCAGGAGACAACUUCCAGUAGACCUGGCCAAUGGAAAUCUCAAAUCUCAUAGCAUGUAAGCUCUCGGUCAGGUAUUCUAUUCGUAACUCAGCGUAUCUUUUUUCAGAAGUUUUAUGUCUAACUCCCAAACAUCUUUUGUCAAGAGUAAGAAUGCAGCUGUUGAGAACUUGACAUAAAUGGUUGCUUGCUGCAAGAAGAGUGGUAUCAUUAUUACCAGAGAAGUAGACGUUGUUUGAAUUAUUCUUUAUUAUUCAUAUCAUGUUAAUAGCUCUCUGCUCUGUUCUUAACUGGGAAUCCUUGCUCCUUGGACCCCUAUCAAUUGUAAAGAAGGUAAUUUAUCAGAAUCUUAUGGUCUUUUAGUUUGUUCUGGGCCUCUGAGGUUCCUUAGUUUCACGUAUGAACGUGAUAUUAGUACGCUCAGUUUCAGUUUUGUGGUUUGAUUUGCUUGCUUGUGUAUAUAUGCAUGUAUACCGUGAGAGAGGGAGAGAUAAUUCUGUUCUAGCAGUCGUAUUUCUGUGACAAAUCUACUUCCCUCCACCCCAUUCUCGAUUGCCUGAAAUCAAAUGCAAAUUGGGAGCGGCAGAGCAAAUGUGAAAAAGUUCAGGGCAGGUGCAUGUUUUUUAGAUUCAGAGGACGUGUAAGCUGGGAGAUGGCUUGCAUGCUUUGUAAGUAUGAUUAAAUGGAUUAGGAACUUGUUUCUGUGUUUGCAACACAAUGCAAUUAUGACAAACUAUAUGUAAUUAAACUAACUGCAUAUAUUUUCUCGGUAUAUUGUGCAAAAUUCAUAGAUUCAUGCUUAAAUGAAGUGCAAUAUUUUCUCGGUGGAAAGAUUUGUGCACGGGGACGGAGGCGAUCAAGGGAAGCAGUCACGAGCGAGGUAUUUGAGGGCUAUGAGCGCCAGUAAUGUGAGGUCUCCGAAGCCUCCACUCUUGAUGGAGUUAAUUUGCCGCAUAGGUGUCUUCCGUAAGAUGCUACAAGGAUCACAUAACUUCCUUAACCGAAUACAGCGCCGACGGUGGCAGGACACGCUUUCUACCUGUAGUUCUCCAACUUUGAGGAUGGUGGCCACCUAUUUCUUAACUGUAAACUGAUCAAGCAACGAUGGCGAGCACUGCUGCUUGAGGAUAUCAGACUUAGACUGCUCCAGUGUACAUCUCCCAAAGAAAUUCUGUCUAUAAUCCUUGACCUGCCAGAGGAGAGGAAGCUGUUAUCCAUCGCUUUGCUCUGGUGUUGGUGGACGGAACAGAACAGGGGCAAUCAUGGGGAGCAACGGCUGGAAGUUGAAGCUUUUCGAUACAUUGUCCGUCACCACGCUGAUGAUUGGAAAGAGUUUUUGAGCGCUAAGCCUACUGAACCGAUCGUGCGGUAGCAUAAGUGGGAUAAGCCUCCAAGCAAUAUGGUGAAAAUAAACGUCGAUGCUGCGUUUGCUGAACAAAGAGGAGUUGGAGGCUGGGGCCUAAUCUGCAGAGAUGACGCUCAAGACAUUCGUUUUGCAGCGGCUGGAGCCCAGCAUGAUCUGCAAAGCGCCCUACAAGCUGAAGCUGUUGCUCUUUCCAAGGCAGUGACUCUGGCGGAUAGGUUAGGAGUUGGGCGCGUCAUUUUUGAAACUGACUGUAUGGUCCUUAAGCAAGCAAUGAACUCAAACGACUAUGAGUUGGCGCAACUGGGUGUUUUGUUUAGUGAUAUCAGGUUCAGACUUAGGACCCAUUUCAUUGAGGCUCAUGUGGUGUAUGUGCCGAGAUAGUGUAAUGGAUCAAGGACCAGCACAUGUGCUAGCGU